GCCAAAAUACUUUCUCUCUAAACUCUAUAAGCAGUACUCCCUUUUUUUUGAAAGAAAGAAUACUCUCUCAAAAAUUUGAACACCUACAAACUCUACAAGAUUUAAAACAAUGGCCGGGUGGAUCAACGUUCAUACGCAAUUCAACGGGGGAGAAGCUCAGAGACACAACGAUGGUGGAACACGUUUGGUAUGCGGAUGAAGUUGCUUAGAUCAACUUAAGAUAUCAUCAAAAGUUUGAUUCCGCCAUAAAAUCGUCAUUAGUUAGGGUAAGGUGCAUUCCAACUACAACAAUUGUCUUCCUUUAAAUGGGGUAAUUCAAACUUGUCAUUGAAGAGUAGAUUUCUAACCACAAAGCUAUUAGACAAAAAAAUAAAAACAGAAAGAGGUCAAUUACUCUUACUCCAACUAAUAUUUUCAGUUGCAUAUGUUCAAUAUUUAAGUCUUUGGUUCAACCACCACGCCACCAGCACCCCCCCCCCCCCCCCAACCAAGUCAUUUUUUAGAUGUUUUUCUUAUGAUUUCUAAUUUAAAAUACACACAUUUUUUGUGAUUGUAACCAUCUUGAUAAAAUUGUGAAGUUAAGAACAUCAAGAACCAUAUAAAAAGCAUCUUAAAAAAUUCACCUAAGCCUUAGUCACGCAGAAAAAAUGAUCGGUUGCUAUAAAAGAAAAAUGCAUGGAGUAGUAAUUUUUCUGAGAAAUAAGAGAUAAGUAGUAUUAAUCUAUUAUUCAGAAAUAUUUAUUUACGCUAGAAUUAAAAAAAAUUAACAGAAUUUAU
rnacentral:lncRNA from 1 species